rnacentral:misc_RNA from 1 species
UCCGGUUUGGCACCGGCAGUCUCUCUAGAGUUCCCGCCAUUACGCGCUGGCAACUAGAGACAGGGGUUGCGCUCGUUGCGGGACUUAACCAAACAUCUCACGACACGAGCUGACGACGGCCAUGCAUCACCUGUCACUGCGGCCCGAAGGCACUCUCUCCUUUCGGAGAAAUUGGCAGGAUGUCAAGCCUGGGUAAGGUUCUUCGCUUACCAUCGAAUUAAACAACACGCUCCACCGCUUGUGCGGGUCCCCGUCAAUUCCUUUAUGUUUUAAGCUUGCGCUCGUACUCCACAGGCGGGAUGCUUAACGCGUUAGCUUCGCUACUACCAGGGUCGAUACUGAUAACAGCUAGCAUCCAUAGUUUACGGCGUGGACUAC